rnacentral:rRNA from 1 species
UACGUAGGUGGCAAGCGUUUGUCCGGAUUUACUGGGCGUAAAGAGCGCGCAGGCGGUCGUGCAAGUCGCGUGUGAAAGCCCCCGGCUCAACUGGGGAGGGUCACGCGAUACUGCUCGACUGGAAGGCAGGAGAGGGAAGCAGAAUUCCCGGGUGUAGUGGUGAAAUGCGUAGAUAUCGGGAGGAAUACCAGUGGCGAAGGCGGCUUCCUGGCCUGUUCUUGACGCUGAGGCGCGAAAGCUAGGGUAGCAAACGGG